ensembl:lncRNA
CUAGGAAGCUGUAAAUCAAACAUCAAGGCCCAGAUCUCUGUUGCAACAUGAAUAUUACUAAGUUUUUAAGUUAGUUCUGUGGAACCUGAAACUACAGAGGCCAGCUAGAAAGGGAGUAAUUUCCAAGGGAACACUUGUUCCUACCAAGCAGUCUAAGUGACAUCUGCAAGCAUGACAUGCAGACACAGCAGUUCCUGUUUCCUGCAGAAUCUGAGCACUCACAUCUAAUUGCAGCCGAGGUUGACUGAGGACAUUCAAAAGAGAAGAGAGUAUUUUGCAUUGUAAGGCUGUUGGAUUUUUCUUUUAUUUAUGUGGCAUCUCUCAAAAAACCUUCUGUGUGACACUUGGAAGCAACCCACAGGGAAACAAUGCGGGAUGCAAGAAUAUGUUUUUAUAUGUACACAUAUACAUAUAUAUAUAUAUGCACACACAUAUAUAAUAGAAAGCACAAUUCAGCAUAGCAAGGAUAAGAUGUGUAAAGACAUGGGGCUGAGAAGAUAUAAAUGAUCAUUCCUGAGGCUGUAGUUCACACGUUAAUAAUCCUGGUGUACCCUUAGAUCUGAGGCUAACAGACUAACUGUGCAUCUUGGGUGUUUUUGGGUGGGGAGUGUUAUGUGCCUAGGGAUGAUCGAGUAUCUGGAAUGAUUUGCAAAUCAGCUCUUUAUGAUGUGUGCAGGAUAGUAAUGCCUCUGAGUACUAGCGACUCAAAAAUGCAGAGCAGCGAACAAAGCGAUCUAAAAUGCCAGGAGGAAAGAAUUUUCUCAGUGGCCUACAGAUGGCAGGCCGAUAUAACAGAUGAGUGAUGUCCUUGAAGCCUGUUUCCCUGAAUAUUAGAAACAUAGUACACCCUAUUUAUGCAGGUUUUCACGGAGAAAGAAGUUUUAACUGGGUCACUCUAAAAUGCAACCACUUUUGCACUACUUCAGAAUAUGUUCAAAGUCUUUUGCUUUGUGCUGUAAGCGGUGUUCAAAAUUCAGCCCAAAAGCUCUCAACUAGAAUUGUUUUAAGUGUUAUGAACUUACCUAAAGAUUUUGAUAAUUGACUCCAAGUUCUCAAAAAUUAGUGUGUACAGGAGGAUACUUGGGUUUACUUGUAUGUAGUUCAUGUCUUCAAAUUACUCCACUUUCUUAAAGAAUGUUGCAAUUGAUUUUGCUGACACCUUGUAUGUUUUUGCAUAAAUCUGGAUUAGCUUUUUUUUUCUGUAGAAGACACCAACAGAUAAAACUUAUGGUUGACUUUUUUGACUCAUUUAAUAUAAAAUAAAAAUUCCUUCAGAAGAUUUUGGUCUGGAAGAGAGGAGGAACCAUAGACACAGUAAAGCUUUUGUUUCUCUUCCUCUUGAGCACUGAGCUUUAGUGUAUGAUUUGAUACUCUCCUGUAUCUUUAGCUCAUAAAAGCACUAAUUCCAGAAGGGAAAACAAAAUAGCAGUCAGCCUUUUCCUUCACUUGGAGAAAAAGAAGUUAUUUAGAGGGUUAAAAAAUGAGAAAAUGUGGCUUCUACUAGUCUUCUUGUUCAAUGAAUAUCUAACAGAAAAGACAUCUUAAACACUGUAAUCUUUCAAGUGUUUUGUAUUUGCUAUAUAAAACAUUAUUAAAAAGGAGUUGGAAAAAGAAAGCUGUUGCAGGUCAUACCCUUUCCAUAUUGUUUGUAAAAUGGCUAAUGGUUAGAAAAUCAAACUUGCUAUACUUCACUCUGUUUGUCUUCUUUUUUUUAUGACUGUAGAUUGAAAUAGGCAUAUUUAAAAUAUUGUGAAGUAUGGAAGUGAUUACAACCUGCCGCUUAAGGCACGACUCAGGAAAUUGAAGAACAGGGGCUUAAAAGUAGUCCCCAAACAAUGGGCUUAACAGAAUUUCACAAGAAACGCUUCGACAACUUUUUUUUAAACCAGAAAAUACUCGGUUUCAACUGAGGGACUGGAAAAUAUGUUGCUAUAUUCUUGAACUGUUUUCUAUUAUGGAAAUCAAACAAGCUUUCGUGACGGAUUACUCUUCAGGCAAGGAGAAAGGAAUGCUUGUGGAGGCCGCACACAGGUCUGUGCUCUGUGCCCUGCCCUGCUGCUGUAGCUAAGCCUGUCUGAACUGUCUUCUAAUCCACAAGCAUAAUUCUGGCUAUUAAAAUAUCCAGUAUUUUAACUCCUCAAUCUAAUUCAUUUGUGCAAUAUAUAUUUAAUAUAUGAAGUGGCAAGAGAAUUGUUUUUUUCUGAGCUGCCAUUGUGUUGUGAAACCACAGCAGCGUGGAAUCAUGGUCUGCCCUGGCAUUCUCUGCAUUAUCAGUCGUGUAUAUGUUGGAGUGGGAAAAGAAUAAAUUUCCUGGUAUAUUAACUUCA